CCUACGGGGGGCUGCAGUGGGGAAUAUUGCACAAUGGGCGCAAGCCUGAUGCAGCGACGCCGCGUGGGGGAUGACGGCCUUCGGGUUGUAAACCUCUUUCAGUACCGACGAAGCGCAAGUGACGGUAGGUACAGAAGAAGCACCGGCCAACUACGUGCCAGCAGCCGCGGUAAUACGUAGGGUGCGAGCGUUGUCCGGAAUUACUGGGCGUAAAGAGCUCGUAGGUGGUUUGUCGCGUUGUCCGUGAAAACUCACAGCUUAACUGUGGGCGUGCGGGCGAUACGGGCAGACUAGAGUACUGCAGGGGAGACUGGAAUUCCUGGUGUAGCGGUGGAAUGCGCAGAUAUCAGGAGGAACACCGGUGGCGAAGGCGGGUCUCUGGGCAGUAACUGACGCUGAGGAGCGAAAGCGUGGGGAGCGAACAGGAUUAGAUACCCUGGUAGUC
rnacentral:rRNA from 1 species